rnacentral:rRNA from 1 species
AUGAAUUGUAUAAGCUGGAACUGUCGGGGGGUGGCCAACAAACCGACAGUUCGCGAACUUGUUGGCAUGGUAAAAGCUACAAAAUCAAAGUUAGUUUUCUUGUGUGAGACUAGACAAAGUUCGGAAAAAGUUAAACGUCUGUGUGGUAGGUUAGGAUUAAGAGGUUUUUCUGGAGUUAGCAGUGAUGGUUUGAGUGGAGGGCUGGCCCUCUUUUGGUGCGAAAGUUUG